rnacentral:rRNA from 1 species
UGCAGUCGAGCGGUAAGGCCCUUCGGGGUACACGAGCGGCGAACGGGUGAGUAACACGUGGGUGAUCUGCCCUGCACUUCGGGAUAAGCCUGGGAAACUGGGUCUAAUACCGGAUAUGACCUUCGGCUGCAUGGCUGAGGGUGGAAAGGUUUACUGGUGCAGGAUGGGCCCGCGGCCUAUCAGCUUGUUGGUGGGGUAAUGGCCUACCAAGGCGACGACGGGUAGCCGACCUGAGAGGGUGACCGGCCACACUGGGACUGAGACACGGCCCAGACUCCUACGGGAGGCAGCAGUGGGGAAUAUUGCACAAUGGGCGAAAGCCUGAUGCAGCGACGCCGCGUGAGGGAUGACGGCCUUCGGGUUGUAAACCUCUUUCAGCAGGGACGAAGCGAAAGUGACGGUACCUGCAGAAGAAGCACCGGCCAACUACGUGCCAGCAGCCGCGGUAAUACGUAGGGUGCAAGCGUUGUCCGGAAUUACUGGGCGUAAAGAGCUCGUAGGCGGUUUGUCGCGUCGUCUGUGAAAACUCGAGGCUCAACCUCGAGCUUGCAGGCGAUACGGGCAGACUUGAGUACUGCAGGGGAGACUGGAAUUCCUGGUGUAGCGGUGAAAUGCGCAGAUAUCAGGAGGAACACCGGUGGCGAAGGCGGGUCUCUGGGCAGUAACUGACGCUGAGGAGCGAAAGCGUGGGUAGCGAACAGGAUUAGAUACCCUGGUAGUCCACGCCGUAAACGGUGGGCGCUAGGGUGUGGGUUUCCUUCCACGGGGAUCCGUGCCGUAGCUAACGCAUUAAGCGCCCCCGCCUGGGGGAGUACGGGCCGCAAGGGCUAANAACUCAAAAGGAAUUUGACGGGGGGCCC